rnacentral:rRNA from 1 species
AAAGGAAUUGACGGGGGCCCGCACAAGCGGAGGAGCAUGUGGUUUAAUUCGAUGAUACGCGAGGAACCUUACCCGGGCUUGAAUUGCAGUGGAAUAAUUAGGAAACUAAUUAGUCUUCGGACCACUGUGAAGGUGCUGCAUGGUUGUCGUCAGCUCGUGCCGUGAGGUGUUAGGUUAAGUCCUGCAACGAGCGCAACCCUUACACUUAGUUGCCAGCACGUAAUGGUGGGGACUCUAUGUGAACUGCCUACGCAAGUAGAGAGGAAGGUGGGGAUGACGUCAAAUCAGCACGGCCCUUAUGUUCGGGGCUACACACGUGCUACAAUGGUCGGUACAGAAGGCAGCUACCCCGCGAGGGGAUGCAAAUCUGUAAAGCCGAUCUCAGUUCGGAUCGGAGUCUGUAACUCGACUCCGUGAAGUUGGAUUCGCUAGUAAUCGCGCAUCAGCCAUGGCGCGGUGAAUACGUUCCCGGGCCUUGUACACACCGCCCGU